UACGUAGGGGGCAAGCGUUGUCCGGAUUCAUUGGGCGUAAAGAGCGUGUAGGCGGCCAGGUAGGUCCGUUGUGAAAACUCGAGGCUCAACCUCGAGACGUCGAUGGAAACCAUCUGGCUAGAGUCCGGAAGAGGAGAGUGGAAUUCCUGGUGUAGCGGUGAAAUGCGCAGAUAUCAGGAGGAACACCGGUGGCGAAGGCGGGUCUCUGGGCCGAUACUGACGCUGAGGAGCGAAAGCGUGGGGAGCGAACAGG
rnacentral:rRNA from 1 species